rnacentral:lncRNA from 1 species
CAACAUUAGGCAUAUAAAUCCUACCUGUCUUCACACACUUACACACUAAAACUCCCACAGAAAGGGGGAAAAUUAGAAAAGGGGUGAUAUAAUUUGACUCUGUGUCACCACCCAAAUCUCAUCUUGAAUUGUAAUCCCCGUAAUUUCUCACCUGGCAAGAGUGGGACCAGGUGGAGACAAUUGGAUCAUGGGGGCAGUUUUCCCCAUGCUCUUCUCGUGAUAAUGAUUGAGUCUCAUGGGAUCUGAUGAUUCUAUAAGUGUCUGGCUUUUCUCCUACUUGCACUCACUCCAUCCUGCCACCCUGCGAGGAAGGUGCCUGCUUCUUCUUUGCCUUCCGCCGUGAGUGUGAGUCUCCUGAGGCCUCCCCAGCAAUGUGGAACUGAUACGUCAUGGAACAGAGGGCAACCUGCCUCCUGGAAAUGUGGAGUGUCUAGGGAGUCACAGCUGAGAUCUUCCUUGGAUUAAAGGCUGCGGGUGUCACAAACAGAUUCAACUGGGUGAAAUAACUGUGAACUGGGCAUGUGAAGAGAAAGCUGAAAGCCAUGAUCUCAAGAUGGAAACUUCAGUAUCCAGCAAAGAAUGAUACGGUUUGGCUGUGUCCCCACCUAAAUCUCACCUUGAGUUCCUAUGUGCUGUGAAAGGGACCUGAUGGGAGGGGGAAUUUUCCUGCACAAGCUCUCUUUGCCUGCUGCCACCCAUGUAAGACGUGACUUGCUGCUCAUUGCCUUCUGCCGUGAUUGUGAAGCUUCCCCAGCAACGUGGAACAGUAAGUCCAAUAAACUUCUUUCUUUUGUAAAUUGCCCAGUCUCUGGUAUGUCUUUAUUAGCAGUGUGAAAACGGACUAAUACACAGAAUAAAAGUAACUUCAACAUGUUUCAUUUUCUCUUGGAAAAGUGCUAUGCUUAAAAAGAUUGUUGCCAAAUUUAUCUUUCAAAAUACAAGUCAGAUGUUUUAAUUACUGUCUUCAGAUGAUUUCAGUGAGUCCUCAAUAUUAAAAUAAUAAAGCAAAACUUCUUUAAAUCUUUCAAG